AUUCCAGCUCCAAGAGCGUAUAUUAAAGUUGUUGCAGUUAAAAAGCUCGUAGUUGGAUUUCUGGUAUAAUGCGCCUGGCCCGCUCCGUUUCGGAGUGAGUGCCGGUGCGCGUUUGCCAUCCUUCUAGAAAAUGUUUCUACCCUUCGCUGGGCCGGAUUCACGAUCUAGAUCUUUUACUUUGAAAAAAUUAGAGUGUUUAAAGCAGGCUUUUGCUAUGAAUACAUUAGCAUGGAAUAAUAAUCUAGGACUUCGGUUCUAUUUUGUUGGUUUCUAGUACUGAAGUAAUGAUUGAUAGGGAUAGUUGGGGGUGCUAGUAUUGACCGGCCAGAGGUGAAAUUCUUGGAUUCGGUCAAGACUAACUUAUGCGAAAGCAUUCACCAAGGAUGUCUUCAUUA
rnacentral:rRNA from 1 species